UCUUUUCUCGAGACGCCGGUACUUCGAGUGCUAGAAUUUCUAUAAAAGAUUUGCGACCUCAUUUUUAUAUGAAAAACUACUAUUUAUACAUAGCAAAAACAACUGGAAAAAGCUAACUACCACAAAAAAACACUUCUUCCAUCGAAAACCGCAUGUCUUCACUAAGGAAACCGCUGCUUUUGAAUUUUAAUUCCUUCUUCUUCGACAUCAACUGCUUGGCUUCGACCAAAUUAGGUCCCGACUCAUGUCGUGUUGAACUUCGAGGCUUUUAACCCCUUCCAAAUACUAAGUCCAUACCUAUCGAAGACUCCAUGCUGAGGAUAAUGACUUUAAUUCCUAAAAAACAAAAGUCAACACAUGUUGACCGCAUUAAUUGAGUCUGUCAAAACUACAGGCUAACAACUACCACACUGAGUAAUAUGAUCCACGAUAUUACCAUUGAAAGUCGUAGUGAAACUGAGCCAAUUAGAAAUAAAAUACCAAAUUCCACCAAAAAAUUCACAAUUAACAAAUAGGUUAUGAACAUCUUCAUUAUUGCCGCAAUUUGUCGUAGAACCCUACUCAUUAGCUACUAAAAUAUGCCUCUUCCACAAAUUAUCCCUUGUCGGCACUCUAUUAAGUAUUAACCUCCAAGAAAAAAUAAAAACCUGAAGAGGGACUUCCUUUAGCCAAACAAAAUUGUAAGCAUCCUGAUGAUCAUUGAUGUCCAUUUCUGUCAAUUUAUUAUAAGCACUUCUAAUAUAAUAACACAUAGAACAAUGUAAAUGCCAAACCCAUUGAUCUAGUGAUCCAACUUGAGCAUUUAACAUUACAUUGAGAAUAAGAUAAAUCUUCUUUUUCAACAAAAUGACGACAUUAAGUUUGAAUUCAACAAGAAGAAUUAAUCUUCAAUGCACUUCAACCUUGUUUGUCACCGCAUGUUCGACUUUGCCUUAUUAUUGUUACUAGCACCAUGUCCACGUUGAAGUAUUCCAAAUCUUAGACAUUGGAUCUUGCAUAAUCAUGUUAC
rnacentral:lncRNA from 1 species